rnacentral:rRNA from 1 species
ACGGAGGAUCCAAGCGUUAUCCGGAUUUAUUGGGUUUAAAGGGUGCGCAGGCGGAUCAAUAAGUCAGGGGUGAAAAAUUUCAGCUUAACUGGAAUCGUGCCUUUGAUACUGUUGGACUAGAGUAUAAUUGACGUGACUGGAAUGUGAUGUAGAGCGGUAAAAAAAUUAUAAAUGACACACAACGCCAAACGUGAGGACAGGUAACAAAAUUAGUACUGAUGCUCAUGCGCGAAAGGGUCGGGAUGAAGGAG